AAUAAUGAUUUGCUUCAGCUCUAGAGAAAUGUAUGAAGGACAGGAGGAAAAGAGUGUGAUUCCGUUACCUGAAGAGGCAACAGAGCAGGAGGAAACUGGACGAUCUGUGCUACAUAAUGUUCAAGUGUACAGAAAAAGGAAGCUGAGAUUGAGAUACUGGAGUGUGAUGAAUGAACCCCAGAGAUCGAUGUUCUAAACUUAGCCCAGUCUGCAUCUCCCACAUGAAGGAACCCAAGGAAUGGUCACGUUUCCAUAUAUCCACACUUGAGGGACAUGAGAUGGGUGGGUUUCCACAAGGAUCAGCUGGAGGAGUUUCACAUCCAUCUGGUGAAGCUGCAUGAAGAUAAGCCUCGUGUUUUCCAGGUAACUGCAUUGCUCUACAGAGGCAAUGCCGAAUUAUUUUAUUUCCUCCCAUCAACCUCUUUCUGAAUAUUUGCGGAUACAGGUUAAAUGUCUCUUAACCAAAAUUCUUGGAACCAGAAAUGUUUUGAAUUUUUUCAGAUUUUGGAAUAUUUGCACAUACAUAUGGAGACCUCUUAGGGAUAGGACCCAAGACUCAAUGCAAAAAUCAGUAAUGUUUCACACGUAUCUCAUACGCAUAGCCUGAAAGGAAUUUUAUAAAAUAUUUUAAAUUAUUUUGUGC